AGAGUUUGAUCCUGGCUCAGAAGGAACCUUGGCGGCGUGCCUAACACAUGCAAGUCGUACGAGAAAAUCCGCUUCGGCGGGUGAGUAAAGUGGCGCACGGGUGAGUAACGCGUGAAUAAUCUGCCUUUAAGCGGGGAAUAACUUACCGAAAGGUGGGGCUAAUACCCCAUAAAGCUAUGGAGCUCCGGUUUUCAUAGCCAAAGAGAGCCUCUGCAUGCAAGCCCUCACUUAGAGAUGAGUCCGCGUACCAUUAGCUAGUUGGUGGGGUAAUGGCCUACCAAGGCGACGAUGGUUAGCUGGUCUGAGAGGAUGAUCAGCCACACUGGAACUGAGACACGGUCCAGACUCCUACGGGAGGCAGCAGUGAGGAAUAUUGCGCAAUGGGGGCAACCCUGACGCAGCAACGCCGCGUGAGUGAGGAAGGUUUUCGGAUCGUAAAGCUCUGUCGGGUGGGAAGAAAUGUAUGGAGGUUAACAGCCUUUGUACUUGACGGUACCGCCAAAGGAAGCACCGGCUAACUCCGUGCCAGCAGCCGCGGUAAUACGGGGGGUGCUAGCGUUGUUCGGAAUCAUUGGGCGUAAAGAGCGUGUAGGCGGCUAGGCAAGUCAGAUGUGAAAUCCCUGGGCUUAACCCAGGACGUGCAUUUGAAACUGCUUGGCUUGAGUAGGGAAGAGGGAAGUGGAAUUCCUGGUGUAGAGGUGAAAUUCGUAGAUAUCAGGAGGAACACCGGUGGCGAAGGCGACUUCCUGGUCCUAUACUGACGCUGAGACGCGAGAGCGUGGGGAGCAGACAGGAUUAGAUACCCUGGUAGUCCACGCCGUAAA
rnacentral:rRNA from 1 species